UACGUAGGGGGCUAGCGUUGUCCGGAAUCAUUGGGCGUAAAGAGCGCGUAGGCGGCCAGAUAAGUCCGGUGUGAAAGUCACAGGCUCAACCUGUGAAUGCCGCUGGAAACUGUCUGGCUAGAGUCCGGGAGGGGCGAGUGGAAUUCCUGGUGUAGCGGUGAAAUGCGUAGAUAUUGGGAGGAACACCAGUGGCGAAGGCGGCUCGCUGGACCGGAACUGACGCUGAGGCGCGAAAGCGUGGGGAGCAAACAGG
rnacentral:rRNA from 1 species